rnacentral:lncRNA from 1 species
AGAAAGAGUGAAGGGGACAGGCAAGAGCUGGAGGCUUUGGAGCAGAACCAUGUUGCCUGUCCUGCGUUCAAGUUUCCUCUCCUUCUGCAGAGGGCAGCUGGAUGCUUCCUGCCCUCGAAAAUCAGACUCCAAGUUCUUCAACUUUGGGACUCGGACCUUUGAACACAGACUGAAGCCUGCACUGUCGGCUUCCCUAGUUUUGAGGCUUUGGGACUUGGACUGACUUCCUGGAUCCUCAGCUUGCAGAUGACUUAUUGUGGGACCUCACCUUGUGAUCAUGUGAGUCAAUGCUCCUUAACAAACUCCCCUUUAUAUAUACAUCUAUGCUACUACUUCUGUCCAUCUAGAGAACCUUGAGUAAUAGAGUUAUGCAUUUUUAUUAAAUGUAAAUUAUGCCUUAAUUAAAAAUAAAUAUCUUCUCAACCUCCAA